AGUGAACGCUGGCGGCGUGCUUAACACAUGCAAGUCGAACGAGAACGGAUUAUAGCUUGCUAUAAUUGUCAGCUAAGUGGCGCACGGGUGAGUAAUGUAUAGGUAAUAUGCCUCUUACUAAGGGAUAACAAAUGGAAACGUUUGCUAAUACCUUAUACUCCUUAUUAACAGAAGUUAAUAAGGGAAAGAUUUAUUGUUAAGAGAUUAGCCUGUAUUGUAUCAGUUAGUUGGUGGGGUAAUGGCUUACCAAGACUAUGACACAUAACUGGUUUGAGAGGAUGAUCAGUCACACGGGAACUAAGACACGGUCCAUACUCCUACAGGAGGCAGCAGUGGGAAAUAUUGCACAAUGGACGAAAGUCUGAUGCAGCAACGCCGCGUGGAGGAUGACACAUUUCGGUGCGUAAACUCCUUUUAUAUGAGAAGAUAAUGACGGUAUUAUAUGAAUAAGCACCGGCUAACUCCGUGCCAGCAGCCGCCGUAA
rnacentral:rRNA from 1 species